CACGUAGGGCGCAAGCGUUGUCCGGAAUUAUUGGGCGUAAAGAGCUCGUAGGUGGUUUGUUACGUCCGCUGUGAAAUCCUAGGGCUUAACCCUGGGCUUGCAGUGGAUACGGGCAGACUAGAGGUAGGUAGGGGAGAAUGGAAUUCCUGGUGUAGCGGUGAAAUGCGCAGAUAUCAGGAGGAACACCGGUGGCGAAGGCGGUUCUCUGGGCCUUACCUGACACUGAGGCGCGAAAGCUAGGGGAGCAAACAGG
rnacentral:rRNA from 1 species